UUUCCAUAUCCUUCUCU
rnacentral:sRNA from 1 species